UGUAAUUUUAUUGUGUAAAAACUAAAUAACACGCAGAGAGAGUACAUGAAUUUGUUCAUAUCAUGUUCGACUGAAGUGAAUCAAUAACGUAUCAAUGUUAAAUCUCACGAUACUGCACAGGAUUUUGUUUCGCGCCCUCAACGUAACAAGGAGAAGAAAUGGUUGGAGUUGGUCGGAGUGCUCAUUCCUACUUUGUUCAAUUGAGAGGCAAACACAACUGCGUAUUCACCUGGAGUCAGCUCGACCGUUUGCUCAAGUUUUUGUGUGAAUGGUGCUAGAAGUGUUCCAGUGACAGAGUUAAUGUGGCAAUGCAAGGCCUGCCCAUUAGUUUUACCAAG